GUGUCAGCAGCCGCGGUAAGACAGAGGGUGCAAACGUUGCUCGGAAUUACUGGGCGUAAAGCGCGUGUAGGCGGACCACCAAGUCGGACGUGAAAGCCCUGAGCUCAACUCAGGAACUGCAUCCGAAACUGGCGGUCUGGAGUAGUGGAGAGGAAAGCAGAAUUCCUGGUGUAGAGGUGAAAUUCGUAGAUAUCAGGAGGAACACCGGUGGCGAAGGCGGCUUUCUGGACACUUACUGACGCUGAGACGCGAAAGCGUGGGGAGCAAACAGGAUUAGAUACCCUGGUAGUCC
rnacentral:rRNA from 1 species